AUUGAACGCUGGCGGCAGGCCUAACACAUGCAAGUCGAGCGGAGCGGCGGACGGGUGAGUAAUGCCUAGGAAUCUGCCUGGUAGUGGGGGAUAACGUCAGGAAACGGGCGCUAAUACCGCAUACUAUCGGCAGAGCCUAGGUCGGUUUAGCUAGGUGGUGGGGUAAAGGCCGACCAAGGCGACGACCCGUAACUGGUCUGAGAGGAUGAUCAGUUACACUGGAACUGAGACACGGUCCAGACUCCUACGGGAGGCAGCAGUGGGGAAUAUUGGACAAUUGGCGAAAGCCUGGUCCAGCCAUGCCGCGUGGGUGAAGAAGGUCUUCGGAUUGGAAAGCACUUUAAGUUGGGAGGCGUUACCAACAGAAUGAGCACCGGCUAACUUCGUGCCAGCAGCCGCGGUAAUAC
rnacentral:rRNA from 1 species